CCUGAAAGGAGAAAUUCUUUAGAUUUACACUGGUGUAGAUCUCAAAGCGAGGAUCCUAUACAGACCUGAUGAUUUCAGAUUACUUGUAGUCGACAUCUUGUCCUUGAGUAAAUCCUUGGACUUUGGAGCAAAAGAUUGUAUAAUUCUAGAUUGAUGCAGUAUUGUCUUUUUCAAGAUAUUAAACUUAUGGAGAAUAUUCUGAAUAGAUUAAUGAUGUACAUCAAAUCAUGCUUCAAGGAUCAAACCAGCAGAAUUUCUUGAAAGGAGUAGGACAUAGGAGCAGGAUCUCACCUCAUACAAGUGAGGAGGAACAAUUGACUUGAAAAACAUACUUUAUGAGAAAAACAGAACUAGUGGAACAUGAAAUCAGAUAGAUGAACUCCUAGAAACUAAUGGUCAGAUGAAACAAGCAAAAGUCUGAAAUGAACAUGAGAAACUAUUUCAAUCUACAUAACAGCUGCUUUAUCACCAAUUUUAUGAAGUAAUUGUCACCUACUGACUCAACUGAUGAACAUAGUAAAACAAUAAACAUGUAAAUUACAAAUAUUCUUGCCAAUUUAUAUGACUUAUUUUCCUAAUUGUAUAAAUUGUAUAUGGUCAGAAUGGGAGAAAGAGAGAGAGAUGUGUAUGAUGGUCAGAGUAAGAGAAAGAAAGACAUAUGAUGGUCAGAGUGUAUUCAAUAUAAAUAUGAAAUUGAAUACAUCUGAUAUUUUUAUUAUCUAGAGCUCUGUAAAAAAAAAAUUGUAAAAAAAUAAAUACCAAAAAAUAUGAAAACGAAAUUGCAAACAGAGUUCUAGAUAAUAAACAUUAAGGGUGGUGUAAAAAGUGGGCAUAUUUUGAAUUUUAUUUUUUUCAAUAAUAAACAUUAAGGGUGGUUUAAUAAAGUUGGAAUAUUUAUUAAUUUCCUUCUGGUCAAUGUAAUUUUAUUACAAAACACUUUUGAUAUUUUAUGAAUGAUUGGUGUCCUCAUAACAGCAAAAACCCAAAUUUGAUAGUUUUAUAAAUUUGGAAUCAAAAUCCAUCUUCUCUUUGGAUAACAUUUAAACAGUAUCUUGUAAAGUUCUGUAAUAUGUUGAUAUUGUCCGUUUUUGUCAGAUAAUUUUUUUUUUUUUUUUUGUGUAACGAAUUGUAACUAUUGUAUUAGAAUUGUAUCUUUUUCCUAUAGAAUAUUCAUAUUUUUUUUCUAAAUAAAACAAAAAUUUUUCAA